rnacentral:rRNA from 1 species
AGCAGCCGCGGUAAUUCCAGCUCCAAUAGCGUAUAUUAAAGUUGUUGCAGUUAAAAAGCUCGUAGUUGAAUUUCGGGAUUUAUCCGUCGGUCGGGCUUUUGGGUCUGUACUGGCGUGAUGGAUUCCUACCUUCUGAAUAACCGGCAUGUCAUUAAUUUGGUGCGCCGGGGAAGCAGGACUGUUACCUUGAAAAAAUUAGAGUGCUUAAAGCAGGCUUAUGCCUGAAUACAUUAGCAUGGAAUAAUGAAAUAGGACGGCAUGGUUCUAUUUUGUUGGUUUCUAGGAUCACCGUAAUGAUUAAUAGGGAUAGUUGGGGGCAUUAGUAUUCAAUUGUCAGAGGUGAAAUUCUUGGAUUUAUUGAAGACUAACUACUGCGAAAGCAUUUGCCAAGGAUGUUUUCAUUAAUCAAGAACGAAAGUUAGGGGAUCGAAGACGAUCAGAUACCGUCGU